UACCGGCUCCUGGUCGUCCGAGAGAGACGUUCGUGAGCUCACAGGUGAGCGGCUGCAUUUAUUAAAAUGGGCUCUGCUUUGUCUGCAGAGGAGGAGACGGUGCAUGAUUUUUUAUUACGCAUCGCUAAAAAGCGGGGAGAGAAGCUUCCCUCUGACGCGUUGUCCCGUUUGUUAAAAUGGGGGCAGAGACGCAGGUUUUUUGUUACUCCUGAUACUGUCUUUGAUAAGGCAGUCUGGGAAAGUCCAGGCUCUGAACUCUGGGAGUCGGUCUCUCACGGCAACAAGGAGGCCGUGUCAUUGAGCCAAAUAUGGUGCAAAUCUAAGAAACUGAUAGAGGCGCUUGCGGCAGAAGCCGAGGUCCAGUCGGCCAUUAAUGACCUCUUUCGGCCAAAAGAGAAGCCGCCUUAUGUGUUGCCAGUGGGAGCCCGUGAGUUCUUUGGAGGUAAGGACACUAUCAUACCACUCAUCCCCAGUGCACCCAAAGCUGAUCCUAGUAUCGUCCCGUUACCGGACGACCCCGCGGAUAAAAUGGAGGUCUCGAGCCCAGAAGGGGAUAAGUUACAAAAAUUUUGGGCGGAAAUGUACAAACAGGGCCUUCAGCUACAGGACAUGCUAAAUCAGUUGUCCCAUUUGGCCGGUGAGAGCGAUCCCCCGCAGUCCCACACAUUGCGAGCCCUGAACCAGCCCGGCUUUCCUGUCACCAAUAAUGUUUGUACCCCAAAGUUCCGGGCGGAGUUCCCGGGGCAGGGUGAGCAGUUGCAGAAUAGGUUAAAAAGAAUGGCGGAGCCAGGCUUAUCUAACUUUGAAAGGACAUAUAGGAAAAAACCACCGGAAAAGAUCCCUCCGGCAGAUGAUAUUGCUACCCGAACACCAUGCCGCCACACAGAAGCCGAACAACGGCCCUGCAACACCGGACCUGCACUUGUUGUUUGUCACAGCCUAAACACCUAAUAAUGCUGUGCUUCUGUUUGUUCGGACUCCUUAUUAUAGGAGCAGGGGUCUUUGUAUGUCCAAACUCUGUACCUUUUGUUAACCCAUGACAAAAUGUUUGGAUCA
rnacentral:lncRNA from 1 species